rnacentral:rRNA from 1 species
CACGCAGGCGGUUUGCUCAGUCCUUUGUGAAAGCCCGGGGCUCAACCCCGGAAUUGCAUGGGAUACUGGCAGACUGGAGACUGGUAGGGGCUAGCGGAAUUCCUGGUGUAGCGGUGGAAUGCGUAGAUAUCAGGAAGAACACCUGUGGCGAAGGCGGCUAGCUGGGCCAGAUCUGACGCUCAUGUGCGAAAGCGUGGGGAGCAAACA